GAUGAAGAACGUAGUGAAAUGCGAUAAGUAGUGUGAAUUGCAGAAUUCAGUGAAUCAUCGAAUCUUUGAACGCACAUUGCGCCCCUUGGUAUUCCAUGGGGCAUGCCUGUUCGAGCGUCAUUUGUACCUUCAAACUCUGCUUGGUGUUGGGUGUUUGUCUCGCCUCUGCGCGUAGACUCGCCUCAAAACAAUUGGCAGCCGGCGUAUUGAUUUCGGAGCGCAGUACAUCUCGCGCUUUGCACUCAUAACGACGACGUCCAAAAGUACAUUUUUACACUCUUGACCUCGGAUCAGGUAGGGAUACCCGCUGAACUUAAGCAUAUCAAUAAGCGGAGGA
rnacentral:misc_RNA from 1 species